rfam:Triticum aestivum genome assembly, contig: Triticum_aestivum_CS42_TGACv1_scaffold_570181_7AS
CAAAUACUCCCUCCGUCCGGAAAUACUUGUUAUCAAAAUGGAUAAAAGGAAAUGUAUCUAGACAUAUUUUAGAUUUAGAUACAUCUGUUUUAUCCAUUUUGAUGACACGUAUAUUCGGAUGGAGGGAGUAGCAA